CUAAAGGUGUCAGAUUAAAUGAGUUUGUUUUAGGUACAAAAUAUAAGUUUAUUAACUUUCUUUAGU
rnacentral:tRNA from 1 species